UACGGAGGGUGCAAGCGUUAUCCGGAAUCACUGGGUUUAAAGGGUGCGUAGGCGGUGGCGUAAGUCAGUUGUGAAAUUCCCCGGCUUAACCGGCGGGACUGCGAUUGAUACUGCGUUACUUGAAUCAGGUUGAGGUAGGCGGAAUGUGACAUGUAGCGGUGAAAUGCUUAGAUAUGUCAUAGAACACCGAUUGCGAAGGCAGCUUGCUGGACCUGUAUUGACGCUGAGGCACGAAAGCGUGGGGA
rnacentral:rRNA from 1 species